rnacentral:rRNA from 1 species
GAGCGCAACAGCGCGUCUACGCCGACAGUGCGUGUGCAGUCAGAGAGGUCUUCAAGGCUAGGGGAAAGAGGAGGUGAAGAGAGGAACAGUGAGGUUUUAACAACAGAUGGCUACUUGAGGUAAUGACGGCGAUCAUUAGCCGCAACGGCUAGAGUGAGGGUUCGAGGGGAGCUAAAGGAGACAAUCAGAGUACGGCGGUGGAACGAAUAGAAGGGACGUGCGUGAGGGACGUCAAGUCCAGCAACCACGCCGGUACCCAGACCAGAUCCAUGGCGCGCGGAGGAGCUAGGGGGUCCGGGCGGUUAUCACUCCUCCGUAUCGUCCCGAACUCCUCGUCAACGCACUCCCUCAUCAACUAGUCAACUCGAUCAGCUUGAGCUACCACCGCAACGGCAGUCGCACCUAGCAGAGGGGACGUCACCCUGCCUCCAUUCGCUCACUUCGUCGUACCUCAAACUCCACGGGGGCACGCACUACAACCUCGAGGUCGCACGUUCCGUGAAAAGUCGGAUACUACUUACGUCCAAACAUAGGUGUGGCCGACCAACGUUCCGGCGAUUCCUACACCUAUUCGGUUAUGUCAUAUCAAGUUUCAUGUUUCGUUUAAUUCUUGUCUAAAAUCCAUUACAUCAGUCGUACCGGAUUGUCCGCUUCAAAAUCCGUCUAAACCCAAACACGGAUCAUCACGAACCUUAACGGCUCCUGCCUGGUACUUCGCCAUGGUCGAGGAGAGGAAAUCAAAUUAAAACGCUACGUCUGGUAUGUCAAUCCACAGGACGGACUCCUGUAACCAAUACGUAUCUAAUAAGGCAUACAAACGACGAUAGUUACUAAUAACGAAAAAAACUGUUUUUAGUGGAGAAAUAAGUGAGCGAUGGUUACUAAUAACCACUACUAUUGAACAAUCAGUUUUAAGACUUAAAUAACUCCGGGGUAGGUGAAAAAGGACGGUACGCUGGUCAUAGCCGUUACAAUCCGAGACAUGGGAUGUAUGAUAUAGCUACUAAAUACUUAACUAUGUAUAUAAACGUUGACCGAUAACAAAAUUAUAAAGAGUUUCUAAUUAAUUUAAAUUUAUUGAACGCAAGAACAUAUUUCAUAUUACUACUCACCUGCAACAGUGAUAUCCGAGCGUAAUAUAUUAUUCACAAAAGUAAUUUACAAGUACGUAAAAAAGGUUACAAAGAGAUCUUAUCAUCUGAUAUAGGAAGGACAGUAUAUCACACAUUGUAAGUACAAUCGUAUCUAUUCAGUUAAAUAAUUUAACUUCUCUAAAACGUCCUUUGAUUAAUAGGCACAUGAACACGAAUACAUUUUCCGACCGUUGUAGUAUGCUUUUCACACAUAAAAUCAAGUAAUGAACCUUUUAAAUAAACAUCUAAUACAUGAACUGGUGUAGUAGCAGUAGCGAUAGAAGUAGUAAACUAAUAGGCGCCAGGUAGAGAAAAACAGAGAACUCUUACAAUGCAUAUCUACAGGUACAAAUAUAGCAAGGUUGGCUAGAAGGAAGGAAGGAAAAAUUAUACUAUAAAACGUAUAUCAAAAAGCUGGAAAAGACAACAGAAAGGUAUCGAUAAAGUAUUCAAUUCACUCACCAAGAGAGUCAACCAUCGUGUCAGACUUUAUCAGUACGAAGAUCGAUAUGGACGGUUAGAAGUAUGCUCUUUUAACGUGGUGCAGCAACGUGAAUGGCCAACCGAGAUACUUCAAGUUUUAAAAGUAUAGUCAUGUAAGUACAAGUUCGAAGAAUCAAGACCUAGUAAAUUUAUAAUUAUAACCAACAAGAACAAGUAUGAUUUUAAGUAGGGAUAUGAAAAAGCCUACCUACCCCAUGUUGAAUGUAUAGACCACUAUAAAAAGAGACAGGAGUUAAAACUAAGACACGUGGGAAACAAUGAACAUAUGGGUAAACUCACUGUUCGAAAAACCUUACCUGCCUCAUGUUGAAUGUAUAGACCACCAAAAAAAAGAGACAGGAGUUAAAACUUCAACACGUGGGCAAACAAUGAAUAUCAGGAACCAACGGUAGGGAGAUAACAUGGGUUACGUAAACACUUGUGUCCGUUGUACAAUAAACUCCGGAACUGUUAUCUUUAUAUUUAUAUAUAAUCAAUCAUUCAUAUUGACCUUUUUUAUACAUAUCAAUCAAAAAACAAGGUUAGUUUUGGACUUGUGUUUUCAUAAUUGAACUCCCUUUACAAUCAUACCUUUCCCUCGCCAAGACCAGUACAAUUAAUUAGAUCCUACAUGUAUAAUUUCAAGAAGAUAAAAUCUUUUUUGAGUAGCUAGUUCGUAUCAACUAGGUAACGAAUAUUACCAAUUACAAAUCAAGCAAAUAGAUUGUUAUUAUUUAGUACUUUUAAUUAACGAAAACACGUAUUCUACCAUUACGGAUGUCAUCCACCUCGCCAGCGACCUUCCCCGAUUAACGUGUUAGAACCUCUAGGUUGCCUCUGACUCUCGUUUGAAACUUGUGUUUUUUCUAUGGACGACCUCAGCAACCACAGCAACCCACCUCAGUUAACCUGUUAACUCCUAUAGGUUGUCUCUAAACCGCUGUAGGUUCCCCGCGGGUAUACUUCCACUUGUACUUCACUUUGAACCUUCGCGAACGUUCAGACUGCCUUAACCUUUAAGUCUAACCAAAGUCCACACGCACUACCUUAAUACAAGAUUUUUAACACAAUGUAAUGUACACACGCGGGUAGGUCAGAGACUAGAUCGAACGACAAACAUGCACUCAUAAGCAUAAGAUCUUCUUUUUGAUUAGUCGUUCUUUGAACGGUAGCCCGUACACGAUUGUUUUCCUUUUAACUUAUCCAAUCGAACUAGUUAAGCCGCAGGUGUUGAACCACUAACGAAAGGCCGGUCUACGCGACCUAAUGAUACCGACCUACGAUUAUUAUUAUAUACACACAAUCAAUGAUAUGACAUAAUGACAUGUUUCAUUAGUUCGUUAGUUGGAGAACA